rnacentral:misc_RNA from 1 species
GAAAUGCGAUAAUUAAUGUGAAUUGCAGAAUUCAGUGAAUCAUCGAGUCUUUGAACGCACAUUGCGCCCCCUGGUAUUCCGGGGGGCAUGCCUGUCCGAGCGUCAUUGCUGCCCUCAAGCACGGCUUGUGUGUUGGGCUUCCGUCCCUGGCAACGGGGACGGGCCCAAAAGGCAGUGGCGGCACCAUGUCUGGUCCUCGAGCGUAAGGGGCUUUGUCACCCGCUCCCGUAGGUCCAGCUGGCAGCUAGCCUCGCAACCAAUCUUUUUAACCAGGUUGACCUCGGAUCAGGUAGGGAUACCCGCUGAACUUAAGC